CCUACGGGGGGCAGCAGUAGGGAAUCUUCCACAAUGGGCGAAAGCCUGAUGGAGCAACGCCGCGUGGGUGAAGAAGGUCUUCGGAUCGUAAAACCCUGUUGUUAGAGAAGAAAGUGCGUGAGAGUAACUGUUCACGUUUCGACGGUAUCUAACCAGAAAGCCACGGCUAACUACGUGCCAGCAGCCGCGGUAAUACGUAGGUGGCAAGCGUUAUCCGGAUUGAUUGGGCGUAAAGGGAACGCAGGGGGUCUUUUAAGUCUGAUGUGAAAGCCUUCGGCUUAACCGGAGUAGUGCAUUGGAAACUGGGAGACUUGAGUGCAGAAGAGGAGAGUGGAACUCCAUGUGUAGCGGUGAAAUGCGUAGAUAUAUGGAAGAACACCAGUGGCGAAAGCGGCUCUCUGGUCUGUAACUGACGCUGAGGUUCGAAAGCGUGGGUAGCAAACAGGAUUAGAUACCCUAGUAGUC
rnacentral:rRNA from 1 species